rnacentral:rRNA from 1 species
UUCCGGNUGAUCCNGCCGGAGGUUACUGCUUUCGAGGUUCGACUAAGCCAUGCGAGUCGAAUGCCGCAAGGCAUGGCGUACUGCUCAGUAACACGUGGACAACCUACCCUUAGGACUGGGAUAACCCCGGGAAACUGGGAAUAAUCCCCGAUAGUCCUCGAAGGCUGGAAUGCAUCGAGGGCGAAAGCUCCGGCGCCUAAGGAUGGGUCUGCGGCCUAUCAGGUAGUAGUGGGUGUAGCGUACCUACUAGCCUACGACGGGUACGGGUUGUGAGAGCAAGAGCCCGGAGAUGGAUUCUGAGACACGAAUCCAGGCCCUACGGGGCGCAGCAGGCGCGAAAACUUUACAAUGCUGGCAACAGCGAUAAGGGAACCUCGAGUGCCAGGUUACAAAUCUGGCUGUCGAGAUGCCUAAAAAGCAUUUCAUAGCAAGGGCCGGGCAAGACCGGUGCCAGCCGCCGCGGUAACACCGGCGGCUCGAGUGGUAACCGUUAUUAUUGGGUCUAAAGGGUCUGUAGCCGGCCGGAUAAGUCUCUUGGGAAAUCUGGCAGCUCAACUGUCAGGCUAUCAGGAGAUACUGUCUGGCUCGAGGCCGGGAGAGGUGAGAGGUACUUCAGGGGUAGGGGUGAAAUCUUGUAAUCCUUGAAGGACCACCAGUGGCGAAGGCGUCUCACCAGAACGGACCUGACGGCAAGGGACGAAAGCUAGGGGCACGAACCGGAUUAGACACCCGGGUAGUCCUAGC